rnacentral:lncRNA from 1 species
CUCUUUUUGCCUGCUGCCAUUCCAGUAGGAUGUGACUUGCUUCUCCUGGCCAUGGUUGUGAGGCCUCCCCAGCUAUGUGGAACUAUGUUGAGAAGGAACAACAUGAUCUAAGUCUUUAGAAACCAAGAGCCACGACUAGCUGAGGACACAAGAAUUUUCACAAAACAAAGUAGAGUGAUUCCAUAGAUCACUAUUAUAGCUGCAUUACCAGUCCUAGGACAGAAUAUGGAUGCUGAAAAAUGAUUCUUUCAAAGUGCUGAGUUGUUGCCUCACGCCCAGUUGUCUGGCAUCUCUUCACUGAAACUAUUACAGUUAGAUCUCAUCUCUAUGGGUGGAAGGAAAAAAUUCUGAGAAUGAUAUAGUCGAAGUGAUACCUUGAAGGUAGAACUGUGCACUGUGGUAAUAACAGAAACAGAAAGACAUUUCUUCUAUAUAAACCCAGGAUGUCGUCCAGCGGCAGCUCCCAUCCCUUCCUAUUGACUGGUUUUCCAGGCUUGGAGGAAGCUCAUCACUGGAUUUCCGUAUUUUUCUUGUUCAUGUAUAUAUCCAUCCUUUUUGGCAAUGGCACCCUCCUUCUUCUCAUUAAGGAAGAUCACAAUCUUCAUGAGCCCAUGUACUUCUUUCUGGCCAUGCUGGCUGCCACAGACCUGGGGCUGGCCCUGACCACAAUGCCCACGGUGCUGGGAGUCCUCUGGCUGGAUCACAGGGAGAUUGGAAGUGCGGCCUGCUUUUCCCAGGCCUACUUUAUACACUCACUUUCCUUUCUCGAGUCUGGCAUUCUGCUUGCCAUGGCCUAUGACCGUUUUAUUGCCAUCUGCAACCCUCUUAGAUAUACCUCUGUACUUACUAAUACUCGAGUAGUGAAGAUUGGGCUGGGAGUUCUGAUGAGGGGAUUUGUAUCCGUUGUUCCCCCAAUCAGGCCCCUCUAUUUUUUUCUGUAUUGUCACUCCCAUGUUCUUUCACAUGCAUUCUGCCUUCACCAGGAUGUCAUUAAACUCGCCUGUGCUGAUACCACCUUCAACCGAC